CCUACGGGUGACAGCAGUGGGGGAUAUUGCACAAUGGAGGAAACUCUGAUGCAGCGACGCCGCGUGAGGGAAGACGGUCUUCGGAUUGUAAACCUCUGUCUUUGGGGAAGAAAAUGACGGUACCCAAAGAGGAAGCUCCGGCUAACUACGUGCCAGCAGCCGCGGUAAUACGUAGGGAGCGAGCGUUGUCCGGAAUUACUGGGUGUAAAGGGAGCGUAGGCGGCCCUGCAAGUCAGAAGUGAAAUCCAUGGGCUUAACCCGUGAACUGCUUUUGAAACUGUAGGGCUUGAGUGAAGUAGAGGCAGGCGGAAUUCCCGGUGUAGCGGUGAAAUGCGUAGAGAUCGGGAGGAACACCAGUGGCGAAGGCGGCCUGCUGGGCUUUAACUGACGCUGAAGCACGAAAGCGUGGGUAGCAAACAGGAUUAGAUACCCGAGUAGUC
rnacentral:rRNA from 1 species